GUAUUAAGUUGCAUAAACGCAAGUGCCAUUCUAAGUCCAUACGUUUAUAAAGAGGACGCGGGGGAAAACCCCACGCAGAGGUGCACAAAGGUGUAGUGGAAAGGCGCAAUCCCACCGUGCACAUGCAACCCCCCUAGGAAGGAUGCCAGCGACAGACAGAAUAUGCGUUUUGCUUUCGUUAAUGAUCCUUCCGCAGGUUCACCUACGGAAA
rnacentral:misc_RNA from 1 species